rnacentral:snRNA from 1 species
AAGGUGGUUUUCCCAGGGCGAGGCUCACUCAAUGCACUUCGGAUGUGCUGACCCCCUGCGGUUUCCCCAAAUGUGGGAAACUCGACUACAUAAUUUCUGGUAGUGGAGGACUGUGUUCAUGCUAUCCCCCG